CCCUUAGAUGUUCUGGGCUGCACGCGCGCUACACUGAUGCGCUCAACGAGUUUACGACCUUGCCCGGAAGGGUUGGGUAAUCUUUUUAAAACGCAUCGUGAUGGGGAUAGAUUAUUGCAAUUAUUAAUCUUUAACGAGGAAUUCCUAGUAAGCGCGAGUCAUCAGCUCGUGCUGAUUACGUCCCUGCCCUUUGUACACACCGCCCGUCGCUACUACCGAUCGGAUGGUUUAGUGAGACCCUCGGACUGGUCCCGCUGUCGGACAGGCAACUGUUUGCAGCGCGUGCGCCGGGAAGAAGGUCGAACUUGACUAUCUAGAGGAAGUAAAAGUCGUAACA
rnacentral:rRNA from 1 species